CCCUUUUCUUUUUUUUUCUCCCCCUCUGUAGCAUGCCACCUCUAGAAGCAGAGCAGAAGGUUCAGGCUCUCAGAGUAACGUGCUUCCCCUGGUGCAGAGCAGAGAACAUCCACUGAACCGAGCUGUCACAUCGUGGUCCGGGCUGUGUCCUACGCGCCAGUGCUAAAGCAGAAGCUAAGGAUCUUUCCUUCUCCCUUUUUCACCCUCCCUCACUCUCACUGCCUUCUAACCACUAACAGUGAGUAAAAAUAUUCAUGUUUCAGUCCAGUACCUUUUUGCACGCCUCACACUAGAGUUUUUUUUCCAUUCCCCUGGGGUUGGGCAGGCCUUGAUUAUCACUCUAAUAGAGUUAAUUAAGUGCCUUGAGGCCCUGAUGUUUUGUUUUCUUUGGGACCAAACCUAUAGCUUGGGCCUCUGAGCUACCUGCUCUGCCUCAACCCCUUCCCUGAAAAACAACCAGGUGAAAUUCAGCAAAAGGCUCUUUGGGAGACACGUGCACCCUCCUGCCAUGGUGUGGUGUUAUGGGGGGAGGUGUCCUCUCCACCCUGGGGCUGUGAAAAGCAUCCUGAGAAGGCACGUGGUGAUCUGUAGCUGUGAACUGGACAACAGCUUAAACAAAAAUAACCGUAGGAAAUGAUUCAGCAAGUUAAGGCAUGGCCCCAAGAAGCCCAUCUCUUGGAUGGGUUUGGUGCUUGGGAUGCUGGCAGAGCAGCAGCCUGCUCAGAAGCAGGUGAACGCUAUCAGGUAGGGUCACUGAUAGCUUAUCCUUAGCACCUGGGAGAGCCAGUCCCCAAAAGUGAGAUUUCAUUUGCCACAGCCUCACUCAGCUCAAUGUGAAUCUCUGAGAUCAGAGUGUGUGUCACUGCCGUUGGAUGCUUUCCUGCAAAGGUUCUCCUAGUCUGUAAUAUGGAAGACGAAGAAAUUGCAAAACUCUCCAAUCAGGGCCAGAAAAAGGCAAGAGACAGAAAGUUGCUGGUGGUGGAUUGUCUCCCAGUGACAACUGCUAGCACCACAGGGCUAGAACUGGUAAAAGACAAAGCAAAACCGCCAUGCCUUUGGGGAAAUGACUCUGCUACCUUGCCAAGAAACAUGUUUGGCAGGUUUAUAAGCCAAGGUGGAGUUGAAGUUCUCUGAGCCCUUCUGCCCUCCUUGAAAGAUGUCAGGUGGGAACCUCAGCAAAGGUAAUAUCUUGAGUAGCAUCUCCGGGGUUGGGCAAACUGGUUCAGGUAGAAGAAACUGCAGCUCACACUGAACCUUUGCCCAUUUCUUGAUGGGCCCAGCCUAAAUUGUGUCUUCUUCCACUUCACAAACCUAAAUCUGGCACACGGUUGUCCUCAGA
rnacentral:lncRNA from 1 species